rnacentral:rRNA from 1 species
UACGUAGGGCGCAAGCGUUAUCCGGAAUUAUUGGGCGUAAAGAGCUCGUAGGCGGUUUGUCGCGUCUGCCGUGAAAUCUCCGGGCUCAACCCGGAACGGUCAACUGAUACUGCGGGGCUAGAGUGCAGAAGGGGCAACUGGAAUUCUCGGUGUAGCGGUGAAAUGCGUAGAUAUCAAGAGGAAUACCUGAGGUGAAGACGGGUUGCUAGGCUGACACUGACGCUGAGGCGCGAAAGCCAGGGGAGCAAACGGG